UGGGGAAUAUUGGACAAUGGGCGAAAGCCUGAUCCAGCCAUGCCGCGUGUGUGAAGAAGGUCUUCGGAUUGUAAAGCACUUUAAGUUGGGAGGAAGGGCAGUAAGCGAAUACCUUGCUGUUUUGACGUUACCGACAGAAUAAGCACCGGCUAACUCUGUGCCAGCAGCCGCGGUAAUACAGAGGGUGCAAGCGUUAAUCGGAAUUACUGGGCGUAAAGCGCGCGUAGGUGGUUCGUUAAGUUGAAUGUGAAAGCCCCGGGCUCAACCUGGGAACUGCAUCCAAAACUGGCGAGCUAGAGUAGGGCAGAGGGGGGUGGGAUUUCCUGUGUAGCGGUGAAAUGCGUAGGUAUAGGAAGGAACACCAGUGGCGAAAGCGACCACCUGGGCUCAUACUGACACUGAGGUGCGAAAGCGUGGGGAGCAAACAGG
rnacentral:rRNA from 1 species